UACGGAGGGUGCAAGCGUUGUCCGGAAUCACUGGGCGUAAAGGGCGCGUAGGCGGCUCAUGAAGGCUGUGGUGAAAGUCCGGGGCUCAACCUCGGAUCGGCCGUGGCGACUCGUGGGCUGGAGCACUGUAGAGGCGGGUGGAAUUCCGGGUGUAGCGGUGGAAUGCGUAGAGAUCCGGAAGAACACCAGUGGCGAAGGCGGCCCCCUGGGCUAACACUGACGCUCAUGCACGAAAGCGUGGGGAGCAAACAGG
rnacentral:rRNA from 1 species